GAUAAACGCUGGCGGCGUGCAUAACACAUGCAAGUCGAACGCAGGGGCGAACGGGUGAGUAACAUGUGUGUAACCUGCGUUACACAAGGGGAAAGCCUAUGGAAACGAAGAAUAAUACCCUAUAGUAGAAGAUGGACUUGAGUGUGAUUAGCUAGUGGGUGAGAUAAAAGCCCACCAAGGCGACGAUCAGUAGCCGGCAUGAGAGAGCGGACGGCAAUAUUGGGAGUGGGACACGGCCCAAACUCUACGGGAGGCCGCAGUGGGGAAUUUUGCACAAGGGGGGAAACACGGAGGCAGCGACGCCGCGUGAUUUAGAAGGCCUUCAGGUUGUAAAAAUCUUUUUUAUGGGAUGCAGUACCAUAAGAAUAAGGUCCGGCUAAAUACGUGCCAGCAGCCGCGGUAAUUC
rnacentral:rRNA from 1 species